rnacentral:rRNA from 1 species
UCCCCUAGUAGCGGCGAGGAAGCGGAAGAGCUCAAAUUUAUAAUCUGGCACCUUCGGUGUCCGAGUUGUAAUCUCUAGAAAUGUUUUCCGCGUUGGACCGCACACAAUCUGUUGGAAUACAGCGGCAUAGUGGUGAGACCCCCGUAUAUGGUGCGGACGCCCAGCGCUUUGUGAUACAUUUUCGAAGAGUCGAGUUGUUUGGGAAUGCAGCUCAAAUUGGGUGGUAAAUUCCAUCUAAAGCUAAAUAUUGGCGAGAGACCGAUAGCGAACAGUACCGGAGGGAAAGAUGAAAAGCACUUUGGAAAGAGAGUUAACAGUACGUGAAAUUGUUGGAAGGGAAACGCUUGAAGUCAGACUUGCUUGCCGAGCAAUCGGUUUGCAGGCCAGCAUCAGUUUUCCGGGAUGGAUAAUGGUAGAGAGAAGGUAGCAGUUUCGGCUGUGUUAUAGCUCUCUGCUGGAUACAUCUUGGGGGACUGAGGAACGCAGUGUGCCUUUGGCGGGGGUUUCGACCUCUUCACACUUAGGAUGCUGGUGGAAUGGCUUUAAACGACCCGUCUUGAA